rnacentral:rRNA from 1 species
GACGAACGCUGGCGGCGUGCCUAAUACAUGCAAGUAGAACGCUGAAGGAGGAGCUUGCUUCUCUGGAUGAGUUGCGAACGGGUGAGUAACGCGUAGGUAACCUGCCUGGUAGCGGGGGAUAACUAUUGGAAACGAUAGCUAAUACCGCAUAACAGUAGAUAUCGCAUGAUAUCUACUUGAAAGGUGCAAUUGCAUCACUACCAGAUGGACCUGCGUUGUAUUAGCUAGUUGGUGAGGUAACGGCUCACCAAGGCGACGAUACAUAGCCGACCUGACAGGGUGAUCAGCCACACUGGGACUGAGACACGGCCCAGACUCCUGCGGGAGGCAGCAGUAGGGAAUCUUCGGCAAUGGACGGAAGUCUGACCGAGCAACGCCGCGUGAGUGAAGAAUGUUUUCGGAUCGUAAAGCUCUGUUGUAAGAGAAGAACGAGUGUGAGAGUGGAAAGUUCACACUGUGACGGUAUCUUACCAGAAAGGGACGGCUAACUACGUG